GAUGAACGCUGGCGGCGUGCCUAAUACAUGCAAGUCGAGCGAACGGACGAGAAGCUUGCUUCUCUGAUGUUAGCGGCGGACGGGUGAGUAACACGUGGAUAACCUACCUAUAAGACUGGGAUAACUUCGGGAAACCGUAGCUACUACCGGAUACUAUUUUGAACCGCAUGGUUCAAAAGUGAAAGACGGUCUUGCUGUCACUUAUAGAUGGAUCCGCGCUGUAUUAGCUAGUUGGUACGGUAACGGCUUACCAAGGCAACGAAGCAUAGCCGACCUGAGAGGGUGAUCGGCCACACUGGAAGGGAGACACGGUCCAGACUCCUACGAGAAGGAGCAGUAGGGAAUCGGCCGCAACAGGCGAGAACCUGACGGAGCGACGGCGCGUGAGUUAUGAAGGUGUUCGGAGCGUGAAGCUCUGUUAUUAGGGGAGAACAUAUGUUAGAGUAGCUGUGGAGAUCUUGACGGUACCUAAACAAGAAGCCACGGCUAACUACGUG
rnacentral:rRNA from 1 species